rnacentral:rRNA from 1 species
UACGUAGGGUGCAAGCGUUGUCCGGAAUUACUGGGCGUAAAGGGCUCGUAGGCGGCCAACUAAGUCAGACGUGAAAUCCCUCAGCUUAACUGGGGAACUGCGUCUGAUACUGGAUGGCUGGAGUUUGGGAGAGGGAUGCGGAAUUCCAGGUGUAGCGGUGAAAUGCGUAGAUAUCUGGAGGAACACCGGUGGCGAAGGCGGCAUCCUGGACCAACACUGACGCUGAGGAGCGAAAGCCAGGGGAGCAAACGGG